GUUUGGGAUUUCCACCACAGUCCUGCUCCAAAGUCCUUCCAAGAAACCGGAAAGCAAAUGGGAUUUGGUGCUUUGGAUCAGCGACAUGGAAGGAGCAGAGUGUGCAGUGAGGGGUAAUGUCAGAUCUCUACUCAUCUGACUGAAGUCCCUCUGGAGGGACUCUCUGGACUCUUCAGAAUAAGUGUCCCUCCCUUUAGAGUUCUGUCAACAUUUGUUGCCCAGCCACUGCUCUGAUGGCUUGCACUUUUGCUCUUCCAAUGUAUCCUCUAAAACGGAAGCCCAGCAUGCACACUUCUGCAGGAAAACAACAGACUGGCUUUUGGUGAUCGCAUAAAGGCAUGUGAAGAUACUUUGACUACUCAUGCAAAGG